ACUAAAUGUCAAACAUAUUCUU
rnacentral:miRNA from 2 species